rnacentral:rRNA from 1 species
ACUCCUACGGGAGGCAGCAGUGGGGAAUAUUGGACAAUGGGCGAAAGCCUGAUCCAGCCAUGCCGCGUGUGUGAAGAAGGUCUUCGGAUUGUAAAGCACUUUAAAGUUGGGUAGGAAGGGCGAGUAAGUUAAUACCUUGCUGUUUUGUACGUUACCAACAGAAUAAGCACCGGCUAACUUCGUGCCAGCAGCCGCGGUAAUACGAAGGGGUGCAAGCGUUAAUCGGAAUUACUGGGCGUAAAGCGCGCGUAGGUGGUUCAGCAAGUUGGAUGUGAAAUCCCCGGGGCUCAACCUGGGAACUGCAUCCAAAACUACUGAGCUAGAGUACGGUAGAGGGUGGUGGAAUUUCCUGUGUAGCGGUGAAAUGCGUAGAUAUAGGAAGGAACACCAGUGGCGAAGGCGACCACCUGGACUGAUACUGACACUGAGGUGCGAGAGCGU